rnacentral:lncRNA from 1 species
AGGGUAGAUGUGAACCUAACAGUAUACCUAAAGCUUUGAUUACCACUUGAUGAGUCAAGGGUGGCCCGAUCUUCCGAAAGGUUCUGGUAUCUCUCGAUUUGGUGCAGACGAGACACAAAUCGAUCCGGCUUCCGAACAACACGAUCUGAAAGCCUACAAUUUUUUUUAUUUUUUGAUAUAUUUCUUUGAGUUAGGAGCACCAAAGAAGUAACCACAUUAAAUUUGAGCUUAAACAAGCGAAAGACAUGGCCUGCGGAAUUUUCUAAAGAUUGUAAAAAAUAUGAAAAAAACUUCACGAGGUGAAAACUCAAACUUUGGAGGUGAAUUUUGAGGUUCUAAAAUUUUCAAACCUACCAAUGGAGGGGACAGACAGAUCCAAAAAAAAUUUCGGAUCAAUUUUGAUAUAUGGAAUGUUGAAAUCGGAGUUCGUAUGCGAAAGUUAUGGCUAUUUUACGGACUACGAAUUAGAGGACAAAAUAGUCCGAAUGUGGGAAAAAUUUGCGGCGGUGGCUAAAAAUUGAUGGAAACGGUGGGGAAAAACACACGAACUGGACUCUAACAAGACCUAACCAGCAACAAGACCUCGACCAGGACACAAACUCAACACUGCGGACUCUGAAAUUGAAAUAUGCAAAGGCUAUGGCGCGGAAGGGUUGUAGGACAGGAAAACGAUACGGUACUGGACUUAUUGGACGAACACAAGAACACUCGAAACUAAGGGUAGAUGCCAACCUAAUGGUAUACCUAAAGCUUUGUUUACCACUUGAUGAGAACAAGGGUGGCCCGAUCUUGUGAAAGGUUCUAGUAACUCUCGAUUUGGUGGAGACGAGACACAAAUCAAUCCGGCUUCCAAAUAACACGAUGCGAAACCCUUCAAUUUUUUUAUUUUUUUGAUAUUUUUCUUUUAGUUAGGAGCACCAAACGAGUAACCACAUAUAAUUUGACUUUAAAACAAGUGAAAGACUUGGCCUGCGGAUUUUUCUUAAGAUUGUGAAAAAUGUGAAAAAAAACUUCACGGGGUGAAAACUCAAACUUUGGAGGUGAAUUUGGAGGUUCUAAAUUUUCAAACCCACCAAAAGCUAGGACACACAGAUCCGAAAUUUUUGUCUGAUUGAUUUCGAUAUAUGGAACAUUGAAAUCGGAGUUCGUAUGUGAAAGUUAUGGCGAUUUUACGAACGGACUCCGAAUUAGAGGACAAAACGGUAAAUGGGAAAAAUUUGCGGUGGUGGCUAGAAAUUGAUGGAAACGGUAGGAAAAAACACACGAACUGGACUCUAACAAGACCUAACCAGCAACAAGACCUCAACAAGAACACAAACUCGACACUGCGGACUCUGAAACUGAAAUAUGCAAAGGCUAUGGCGCGAAAGGGUUGUAGGAUACGAAAACGAUAUAGCCCUGGACUUAUGGGACGAACACAAGAACACUCGAAACUAAGGGUGGAUGUGAACCUAACGGUAUACCUAAAGCUUUGAUUACCACUUGAUGAGAACAAGGGUGACCUGACCUUCCAAAAGGUUCUGAUAUCUCUCGAUUUGGUACAGACGAGACACAAAUCGAUCCGGCUUCCGAACAACAUGAUAUGAAACCGUGCAAUUUAUUUUAUUUUUUUGAUAUUUUUCUUUUAGUUAGUAGCACCAAAGGAGUAACCACAGUAAAUUUGAGCUUAAACAAGUGAAAGACAUGGCCUGCGGAAUUUUUUGAAGAUUGUGAAAAAUGUGAAAAAAAACAUUACGAGGUGAAAACUCAAACUUUAGAGGUGAAUUUUGAGGUUCUAAAAUUUUCAAACCCGCCAAUGGAGGGGAUAGAGAGAUCCAAAAAAAUUUUCGAAUCAAUUUUGAUAUAUGGAACGUUGAAAUCGGAGUUCGUAUGCGAAAGUUAUGGCUAUUUUACGAACGGACUACGAAUUAGAGGACAAAACAGUCUGAAAGUCUGAAAAAUCUGCGGUUGUGGCUAGAAAUUGAUGGAAACGGUGGGGAAAAACACACGAACUGGACUCUAACAAGGCCUAACCAGCAACAAGACCUCAACAAGAACACAAACUCAACACUGCAGACUCUGAAACUGAAAUAUGCAAAGGCUAUGGCGCGAAAGGGUUGUAGGACACGAAAAUGAUAUAGCACUGGACUUAUGGUACGAACACAAGAACACUCGAAACUAAGGGUAGAUGUAAACCUAAUGGUAUACCUAAAGCUUUGAUUACCACUUGAUGAGAACAAGGGUGGGCCGAUCUUCUCAAAGGUUCUAGUAACUCUCGAUUUGAUGGAGACGACACACAAAUCGAUCCGGCUUCCGAACAACACGAUCCGAAACAUGCAAUUUUUUUUAUUUUUUUUUUGAUAUUUUUCUUUUACUUAGGAGCACCAAAGGAGUAGCCACAGGAAAAUUGAGCUUAAACAAGUGAAAGACAUGGCCUGCGGAAUUUUCUGGAAAUUGUGAAAAAUGUGAAAAAAACAUCACGAGCUGAAAACUCAAAUUUCGGAAGUGAAUUUGGAGGUUCUAAAAUUUUCAAACCCACCAAUGAGGGGACAGACAGAUCUUAUUUUUUUUCUAAUCAAUUUUGAUAUAUGGAAUGUUGAAAUCGGAGUUCAUAUGCGAAAGUUAUGGCUAUUUUACGAACGGACUCCGAAUUAGAGCACAAAACGGUCCGAAAGUGGGAAAAAUUUGCGGCGGUGGCUAGAAUUUGAUGGAAACGGUGGAGAAAAAUACAUGAACUGGACUCUAACAAGACCUAACCACCAACAAGACUUCGACCAGGACACAAACUCAACACUGCGGACUCUGAAACUGAAAUAUGCAAAGGCUAUGGCGUGGAAGGGUUGUAGGACACGAAAACGAUAUGGCACUGGACUUAUGGGACGAACACAAGAACACUCGAAACUAAGGGUAGAUGUGAACCUAACGGUAUACCUAAUGCUUUUAUUACCACUUGAUGAGAAAAAGGGUGACCUGAUCUUCCAAAAGGUUCUGGUAUCUCUCGAUUUGGUGCAGACGAGACACAAAUCGAUCCGGCUUCCGAACAACAUGAUACGAAACAAUGCAAAUUUUUUCUAUUUUUUUUGAUAUUUUUAUUUUAGUUAGGAGCACCGAAGGAGUAACCACAGAGAAUUUGAGCUUAAACAAGUUUAAGACAUGGCCUGCGGAAUUUUUUGAAGAUUGUGAAAAAUGUGAAAAAAAACUUCACGGGGUGAAAACUCAAACUUUGGAGGUGAAUUUGGAGGUUCUAAAUUUUUUUGAUCGAUUUUGAUAUAUGGAACAUUGAAAUCGGAGUUCGUAUGCGAAAGUUAAGGCUAUUUUACGAUCGGACUCCGAAUUAGAGGACAAAACGGUCCGAAAGUGGGAAAAAUUUGCAGUGCUGGCUAGAAAUUGAUGGAAAUGGUAGGGAAAAACACACGAACUGGACUCUAAUAAGACCUAACCAGCAACAAGACGUCAACAAGAACACAAACUCAACACUGCGGACUCUGAAACUGAAAUAUGCAAAGGCUAUGGCGCGAAAGGGUUGUAGGACACGAAAACGAAAAAGCACUGGACUUAUGGUACGAACACAAGAACACUCGAAACUAAGGGUAGAUGUGAACCUAACGGUAUACUAAUGCUUUUAUUACCACUUGAUGAGAAUAAGUGUGACCUGAUCUUCAAAAAGGUUCUGGUAUCUCUUGAUUUGGUGCAGACGAGACACAAAUCGAUCCGGCUUCCGAACAACAUGAUACGAAACCUUGCAUUUUUUUUUUAUUUUUUUUAAUAUUUUGCUUUUAGUUAGGAGCACCGUAGGAGUAACCACAGAAAAUUUGACGUUAAACAAGUGAAAGACAUGGUCUACGGAAUUUUUUGAAGAUUGUGAAAAAUGUGAAAAAAAACUUCACGAGGUGAAAACUCAAACUUUGGAGAUGAAUUUUGAGGUUCUAAAAUUUUCAAACCCGCCAAUGGAGGGGACAGACAGAUCCAAAAAGAAUUUUGGAUCAAUUUUCAUAUAUGGAACGUUGAAAUCGGAGUUCGUAUGUGAAAGUUAUGGCUAUUUUACGAACGGACUACGAAUUAGAGGACAAAACAGUCCGAAAGGGGGAAAAAUUUGCGGCAGUGGCUAGAAAUUGAUGGAAACAGUGGGGAAAAACACACGAACUAGACUCUAACAAAGACCUCGACCAGGACACAAACUCAACACUGCGGACUCUGAAACUGAAAUAUGCAAAGGCUAUGGCGCGGAAGGGUUGUAGGACAAGAAAAUGAUAUGGUACUGGACUUAUGGGACGAACACAAGAACACUCCAAACUAAGGGUAGAUGUGAACCAAAUGUUAUACCUAAAGCUCUGAUUACCACUUGAUGAAAACAAGGGUGGCCCGAUCUUCUGAAAGGUUCUAGUAACUCUCGAUUUGGUGGAGACGAGACACAAAUCGAUCCGGCUUCCGAACAACAUGAUCCGAAAGCCUACAAUUUUUUUUAUUUUUUUGAUGUUUUUCUUUUAGUUAGGAGCACCAAAGAAGUAACCACAUAAAAUUUGAGCUUAAACAAGUGAAAGAAAUGGCCUGUGGAAUUUUCUGAAGAUUGUGAAAAAUGUGAAAAAACUUCACGAGGUGAAAACUCAAACUUUGGAGGUGAAUUUGCAGGUUCUAAAAUUUUCAAACCAACCAAAAGCUAGGACACACAGAUCUGAAAUUUUUUUCUGAUCGAUUUUGAUAUAUGGAACGUUGAAAUCGGAGUUCGUAUGUGAAAGUUAUGGCUAUUUUACGAACGGACUACGAAUUAGAGGACAAAACAGUCCGAAAGUGGGAAAAAUUUGCGGCGGUGGCUAGAAAUUGAUGGAAACGGUGGGGAAAAGCACACGAACUGGACUCUAAUAAGACCUAACCAGCAACAAGACCUCAACAAGAACACAAACUCAAAACUGCGGACUCUGAAACUGAAAUAUGCAAAGGCUAUGGCGCGAAAGGGUUAGGACACGAAAACGAAAUAGCACUGGACUUAUGGUACGAACAUAAUAACACUCAAAACUAAGGGUAGAUGUGAACCUAACGGUAUACCUAAUGCUUUUAUUACCACUUGAUGAGAACAAGGGUGACCUGAUCUUCCAAAAGGUUCUGGUAUCUAUCGAUUUAUUGCAGACGAGACACAAAUCGAUCCGGCUUCCGAACAACAUGAUACGAAACCCAGCAAUUUUUUUUAAUUUUUUUUUGAUAUUUUUAUUUUAGUUAGGAGCACCGUAGGAGUAACCACAGAGAAUUUGAGCUUAAACAAGUUUAAGACAUGGCCUGCGGAAUUUUUUGAAGAUUGUGAAAAAUGUGAAAAAAAACUUCACAAGGUGAAAACUCAAAAUUUGGAGGUGAAUUUUGAGGUUCAAAAAUUUUUCAAACCCGCCAAUGGAGGGGACAGACAGAUCCAAAAAAAAUUUUUGGAUCAAUUUUGAUAUAUGGAACGUUGAAAUCAGAGUUCGUAUGCGAAAGUUAUGGCUAUUUUACGAACGGACUACGAAUUAGAGGACAAAACAGUCCGAAAGUGGGAAAAAUUUGCGGUGCUGGCUAGAAAUUGAUGGAAAUGGUAGGGAAAAACACACGAACUGGACUCUAAUAAGACCUAACCAGCAACAAGACGUCAACAAGAACACAAACUCAACACUGCGGACUCUGAAACUGAAAUAUGCAAAGGCUAUGGCGCGAAAGGGUUGUAGGACACGAAAACGAAAAAGCACUGGACUUAUGGUACGAACACAAGAACACUCGAAACUAAGGGUAGAUGUGAACC